GGCAGCAUAGGUGCUUGCACCUGAUGGCGAGUGGCGAACGGCUGUAGUAAUGCAUCGGAACGUGCCCAGUCGUGGGGGAUAACGCAGCGAAAGCUGUGCUAAUACCGCAUACGAUCUAUGGAUGAAAGCGGGGGACCUUCGGGCCUCGCGCGAUUGGAGCGGCCGAUGUUAGAUUAGGUAGUUGGUGAGGUAAAGGCUCACCAAGCCUACGAUCUAUAGCUGGUCUGAGAGGACGACCAGCCACACUGGAACUGAGACACGGUCCAGACUCCUACGGGAGGCAGCAGUGGGGAAUUUUGGACAAUGGGCGAAAGCCUGAUCCAGCAAUACCGCGUGCAGGAAGAAGGCCUUCGGGUUGUAACCUGCUUUUGUACGGAACGAAACGGUCUGGAUUAAUACUCUGGGCUAAUGACGGUACCGUAAGAAUAAGCACCGGCUAACUACGUGCCAGCAGCCGCGGUAAUACGUAGGGUGCAAGCGUUAAUCGGAAUUACUGGGCGUAAAGCGUGCGCAGGCGGUUUUGUAAGACAGGCGUGAAAUCCCCGGGCUCAACCUGGGAAUUGCGCUUGUGACUGCAAGGCUAGAGUACGGUAGAGGGGGGUAGAAUUCCGCGUGUAGCAGUGAAAUGCGUGGAUAUGCGGAGGAACACCGAUGGCGAAGGCAGCCCUCUGGACCUGUACUGACGCUCAUGCACGAAAGCGUGGGGAGCAAACAGGAUUAGAUACCCUGGUAGUCCACGCCCUAAACGAUGUCAACUGGUUGUUGGGAAUUUACUUUCUCAGUAACGAAGCUAACGCGUGAAGUUGACCGCCUGGGGAG
rnacentral:rRNA from 1 species